UACGUAGGAUGCAAGCGUUGUUCGGAAUUACUGGGCGUAAAGGGCGCGUAGGCGGCCUGCUAAGUCGGACGUGAAAUCCCUCGGCUCAACCGGGGAACUGCGUCCGAUACUGGCGAGGCUUGAAUCCGGGAGAGGGAUGUGGAAUUCCAGGUGUAGCGGUGAAAUGCGUAGAUAUUGGGAGGAACACCAGUGGCGAAGGCGGCUCACUGGACUGGUACUGACGCUGAUGCGCGAAAGCGUGGGGAGCAAACAGG
rnacentral:rRNA from 1 species